rnacentral:lncRNA from 1 species
ACGAGCAAUCGAUAUUCUAUUUUUUAUUGGUUGCCUCAAGGUAUGACAUAGCAGUUCGAAUGAGUAUAAUUAGUAAAGAUAGAAUAAAAUUAUUUGAAUAGAAAAAUCAGAUUGUCAUGGUGUUAUUUUCAUAUUAAUUUCAUUGCAUAUAGUCAGAAUGUAAAUAAUUUUGUAGAAUAAAGUUGACACAUGAGAAGGUACCACUAAAAGAAAAGAAAUGUUAGCAAAUUUAUAUUUCCAACAUUCUUUGAAGUCCAUGUAUUCUCUUAAUCAAUUAAAUUAGGACCAAAGAAAUAUUUUUCCCUUUAGCCACCAUGUAUUACUUUUCUUUCAUAGGAAGUAUUUG